rnacentral:rRNA from 1 species
UACGUAGGGUGCGAGCGUUAAUCGGAAUUACUGGGCGUAAAGCGUGCGCAGGCGGUUUUGUAAGCCAGAUGUGAAAUCCCCGGGCUUAACCUGGGAAUGGCAUUUGGGACUGCAAGGCUGGAGUGUGGCAGAGGAGACUGGAAUUCCUGGUGUAGCAGUGAAAUGCGUAGAUAUGCGGAGGAACACCGAUGGCGAAGGCAGCCUCCUGGGAUAACACUGACGCUCAUGCACGAAAGCGUGGGGAGCAAACAGG